AUUGAACGCUGGCGGCAGGCUUAACACAUGCAAGUCGAGCGGGGAGAUGUAGCUUGCUACAUUUCCUAGCGGCGGACGGGUGAGUAAUGCUUAGGAAUCUGCCAUUUAGUGGGGGACAACAUUCCGAAAGGGAUGCUAAUACCGCAUACGUCCUACGGGAGAAAGCAGGGGAUCUUCGGACCUUGCGCUAAAUGAUGAGCCUAAGUCGGAUUAGCUAGUUGGUGGGGUAAAGGCCUACCAAGGCGACGAUCUGUAGCGGGUCUGAGAGGAUGAUCCGCCACACUGGGACUGAGACACGGCCCAGACUCCUACGGGAGGCAGCAGUGGGGAAUAUUGGACAAUGGGGGGAACCCUGAUCCAGCCAUGCCGCGUGUGUGAAGAAGGCCUUUUGGUUGUAAAGCACUUUAAGCGAGGAGGAGGCUACCUGGAUUAAUACUCUGGGAUAGUGGACGUUACUCGCAGAAUAAGCACCGGCUAACUCUGUGCCAGCCGCCGCCGUAAAAC
rnacentral:rRNA from 1 species